rnacentral:lncRNA from 1 species
CAUCGCUGUGGCAAAGCCCGGCUGGGGCUGCCCUGUCUCUCCAACCCACAGCCGGUUUUUUUUUCCGGAGGAGUUUUCUCAAAUGAGGGCAAUUAAAACAAUGGGAAAAUGGAAAGUUUUUGUCAGGGAGCCGCAGUGGCAGAGGGGGAAGGUGCUGCGGUGAGUCAGCCUUCCAAAGAGAAGCCCCAGCGCCAGGUAAACAAGCUGCAGAGCGGGAGGUGUUACUCACCUGCCCGGCCUGGGAGGCACCGGCAAAACCCUCCAGGAAAGGGCUCGGGAGCUCCGAAUCCCCCUGGAGAGAGGAGCAGCCCCUGCUCCUGUCACCCUGAGAGAUGCUGCAGCUCCAUCACUGCCAUGUCCGCCGGGAUGUCACCACCCUGGGGACACGGGAUGUCACCGCUCCGGGGACACGGGCCGGUGGCUCUGCCGUGUUCUCCCGGCCCUGGUGCCGCACAUUUCACAUUUUUCCGCAGGGCCGGGCAGGGGCAGCACAGCCGGGUGCUCCUCCCGUGUGGCCAUCGCUCCCCACGGGACCUCGGGCAAGUCCCUGAGUGGCUCCGUGCCGCCGGCCUGCUGUCAUUACCGCGGAGCCAGCCAGACAGACAGACAGACAGACGGAUGGAUGCCCGGGGGAGAGGGCAGGAGUCAGGGCUCGGAGCUGGCGAGCCCUGGGAUCCACACUUGGUCCAGGAUUGGGCUGAAAGGGCUCCCCCGUCCUGCCCUGCUCCACCUGGGGUGGGAGCAUCCCAUCCCAUCUGCACCUGCAGGGAUGCAGAGCCUUCCACAGCCCUGCCCGGGGAACAUCUGCCAAAGGAAACACUGACCAAAGGAGGCUUGGAUGCCCCUGGAGCCACCGUGGGUCUUAUAGGGGUGAGACCCACAGUGGGGAAAUCCAUAUGGGGUGAAAAACACAUUGCUGGAUGGAGAGAAAGGCCCCUGUGCCCAGCUGUCACAGAAUCAGAGUGGUUCAAAUUGCAAGAGAUCUCAAAGACCAUCUUGUUCCACCCUCUGUCCCAAGGCAGGGACAGCUUCCACUAAACCAGGUUGCUCCAAGCUCCAUUCAAUUGCAUUUUUCCCACUAGAAAAGCUAAAAGGACACAAAUGAUGACCUAAAAUGAUCCACUGGAGGAAACCCACAGCUCUCAGCUGCAGCUGGUGCAGUCCAGAGGGGAGGAUGCAGCUUCCAUGGGGCUGGAAAGGCCCAUGAGGAUGGGCCAGAGCAAGCUGCACAUGCAUGCAGAGGCUUGGGCUUGUCCCAGAAGCCACAAUAAAUCCUCUCCCACCAAGCA